AUCAUUACUUUAGUUGAUAAUUAAAGGGAUAAUUAUAUAUAAACAACUGAAUUUAUAAACCAGAUAUUAAGAAUAAUCCCCAUCAAUACUGACAAGACAAGAUAUUUAGUUCCUGUCUUUGAACAUUUUUAUUGACAAAUAUUAAGAAUUAACUAAUGUUUCAAUAAUUUUUGAAUAACAACUUAUAAAAUAAUACAUUGUUAAAAAAACAUACAACGAAAUAAGAAGAUAAACUUUCAAUAUUUUCUCCCUUCAAGAUUAGAUGCUUUUCCGAAAGAGAGAGGGGCGAGGGGACCUCGAAUUUGAAAGAGAGAAUCUAUCUAUCUCUUACGCGUAGUGGUAAAUGAAUAUGGAAACUUUUCCAUGCUGCUUACUGAAAUUUAUAGGCAUUUGUGGUCGCCAAAUUUACACCAAUCUCUGUAGCCACCCAUUGAUUCUUCAAAACUAUCACACACAAAAACAAUUCAAAGAGAAAAAAAAUAGAACCUCCUACUUAAUAGCAUCUUGCUCUCGACUUUUUUAGAUCAAGCUAUUCUCGUGACCCUUUUAUUUUUUUCGCCCCUUUUGUCUCCUCCUCUCAACAAUCUUUGCUGUCUUUGCUCUCUUUUUAAUUUACUAAGAUACGA